rnacentral:sRNA from 1 species
GAUACCAGCCUUCAAAAGUCAUACAUCCCAUUGUGUUUACACAUAUGGGGAUGUAUGACCUUGGAAGGCGCCAAAACAUGAGAAAGAAGCCCGUCAGGGCGGAUUUCGAAUGUUUUGAGGAUUUCGGGAGCGC